rnacentral:lncRNA from 1 species
CUUUUUAAAUAUAAAAACAGCAGAUUUUGUUUCGGGUAAAUGUCAGUGUCAAGUACUUAAAUCAGAAAAAAAAAAGAAAAAAAAAGUAGACAUUUUGAGGGCAACAUUCAUACAUGUACAUGUUCAGACUUCAACGUACAGAUGUAAACAAACUACAUUGAAUUAUUAUGCCAAACAGGCAAUUAGGACAGGCACAUGAAUAAAAUGAUCAAUGGUACCCAGGCA